AUUGCUUUGUUUCUAUCAGUGCAUUAUUUAGGAUCAUCAAGCCAAGACGAAUUCGAAGUCGUGCGCGCGAUAUGAUGACGAUUCAUCCAAUCGUCUCGAAACGACACCGAAGCUGAUGAUGACGAUGACGACGUUCGUUCGCACGGACGACGAGAAAACGAACAUGUACGAUCAAAGGAACUGACUCUCGAACGACCUCAGUUUGGAGAUUAUUGUAGUGGAAAGCAGUCGCAGUUGUGUGGUGAAGUGAACAAAAAAAAAGUGACGAAAAGUAAAAAAAUAAGUGAUGAAUAAAAUAAAAUAAAGAAAGAAUAUGUGUUGCAAAAGGUGUUGUAUUGGUUUCGGCCUAUUUUGAGAAAACUCCUACAAUGGCGUAAGUCGUGCAUUAUUUAGGAUCAUCAAGCCAAGACGAAUUCGAAGUCGUGCGCGCGAUAUGAUGACGAUUCAUCCAAUCGUCUCGAAACGACACCGAAGCUGAUGAUGACGAUGACGACGUUCGUUCGCACGGACGACGAGAAAACGAACAUGUACGAUCAAAGGAACUGACUCUCGAACGACCUCAGUUUGGAGAUUAUUGUAGUGGAAAGCAGUCGCAGUUGUGUGGUGAAGUGAACAAAAAAAAGUGACGAAAAGU